rnacentral:rRNA from 1 species
CGCGUAGGCGGUCUUGUAAGUCGGGUGUGAAAUUCCGGGGCUCAACCCCGAGAACUGCAUCCGAUACCGCUCGACUUGAGAGAGGUAGGGGCGAGUGGAAUUCCCGGUGUAGCGGUGGAAUGCGUAGAUAUCGGGAAGAACACCGGUGGCGAAGGCGGCUCGCUGGACCUUUUCUGACGCUGAAGCGCGAAAGCGUGGGGAGCAAACAGGAUUAGAUACCCUGGUAGUCC